AUUUAAAUAGCUUAUACAGAGCAUAAUAUUGAAGAUAUUAGGGAAUUAAUUUUUAAUUUUAAAUA
rnacentral:tRNA from 1 species